rnacentral:rRNA from 1 species
AACGAACGCUGGCGGCGUGCCUAACACAUGCAAGUCGAACGGGAUUAGGGGCUUGCUCCUAAUCUAGUGGCGCACGGGUGAGUAACGCGUAGAUAAUCUGCCUGAUGAUCUGGGAUAACACUUCGAAAGGAGUGCUAAUACCGGAUAAGCCCACGGAGUCUUUGGAUUCUGCGGGAAAAGGGGGGCCUUCGGGCCUUCUGUCAUCAGAUGAGUCUGCGUACCAUUAGCUAGUUGGUAGGGUAAUGGCCUACCAAGGCUACGAUGGUUAGCUGGUCUGAGAGGAUGAUCAGCCACACUGGAACUGAGACACGGUCCAGACUCCUACGGGUGCAG